CACGUAGGGCGCAAGCGUUGUCCGGAAUUAUUGGGCGUAAAGAGCUCGUAGGCGGUCCGUCACGUCCGCUGUGAAAACCCAGGGCUCAACCCUGGGCUUGCAGUGGAUACGGGCAGACUAGAGGUAGGUAGGGGAGAAUGGAAUUCCCGGUGUAGCGGUGAAAUGCGCAGAUAUCGGGAGGAACACCCGUGGCGAAAGCGGCUCUCUGGGACGGUACUGACGCUGAGACGCGAAAGCGUGGGGAGCAAACAGG
rnacentral:rRNA from 1 species